rnacentral:rRNA from 1 species
AUUGAACGCUGGCGGCAGGCCUAACACAUGCAAGUCGAGCGGAUGAAGGGAGCUUGCUCCUGGAUUCAGCGGCGGACGGGUGAGUAAUGCCUAGGAAUCUGCCUGGUAGUGGGGGAUAACGUCCGGAAACGGGCGCUAAUACCGCAUACGUCCUGAGGGAGAAAGUGGGGGAUCUUCGGACCUCACGCUAUCAGAUGAGCCUAGGUCGGAUUAGCUAGUUGGUGGGGUAAAGGCCUACCAAGGCGACGAUCCGUAACUGGUCUGAGAGGAUGAUCAGUCACACUGGAACUGAGACACGGUCCAGACUCCUACGGGAGGCAGCAGUGGGGAAUAUUGGACAAUGGGCGAAAGCCUGAUCCAGCCAUGCCGCGUGUGUGAAGAAGGUCUUCGGAUUGUAAAGCACUUUAAGUUGGGAGGAAGGGCAGUAAGUUAAUACCUUGCUGUUUUGACGUUACCAACAGAAUAAGCACCGGCUAACUUCGUU